GAGUUUGAUCAUGGCUCAGGACGAACGCUGGCGGCGUGCUUAACACAUGCAAGUCGAACGGAAAGGCCCCCACCUUGGUGGGGGUGCUCGAGUGGCGAACGGGUGAGUAACACGUGGGUGAUCUGCCCUGUACUUCGGGAUAAGCUUGGGAAACUGGGUCUAAUACCGGAUAGGACCAUGGUUUAGUGUCUCAUGGUGGAAAAAUUAUUGUUUUGGUGCAGGAUGAGCUCGCGGCCUAUCAUCUUGUUGGUGGGGUAAUGGCCUACCAAGGCGUCGACGGGUAGCCGGCCUGAGAGGGUGGACGGCCACAUUGGGACUGAGAUACCGCCCAGACUCCUACGGGAGGCAGCAGUGGGGAAUAUUGCACAAUGGGCGCAAGCCUGAUGCAGCGACGCCGCGUGGGGGAUGACGGCCUUCGGGUUGUAAACUCCUUUCGUUAGGGACGAAUCCACGCCUUUUUUGGGUGUGGUGACGGUACCUUUGUUAAGAAGCACCGGCUAACUACGUGCCAGCAGCCGCGGUAAUACGUAGGGUGCGAGCGUUGUCCGGAAUUACUGGGCGUAAAGAGCUCGUAGGGUGGUUUGUUGCGUCGUCUGUGAAAUUCCGGGGCUUAACUUCGGGGUGGCAGGCGAUACGGGCAUAACUAGAGUGCUGUAGGGGAGACUGGAAUUCCUGGUGUAGCGGUGGAAUGCGCAGAUAUCAGGAGGAACACCGAUGGCGAAGGCAGGUCUCUGGGCAGUAACUGACGCUGAGGAGCGAAAGCAUGGGGAGCGAACAGGAUUAGAUACCCUGGUAGUCCAUGCUGUAAACGGUGGGCGUUAGGUGUGGGGACCGGUUUGGUUUCUGUGCCGUAGCUAACGCAUUAAGCGCCCCGCCUGGGGAGUACGGCCGCAAGGCUAAAACUCAAAGGAAUUGACGGGGGCCCGCACAAGCGGCGGAGCAUGUGGAUUAAUUCGAUGCAACGCGAAGAACCUUACCUGGGUUUGACAUGCACCAGACGGUUGUAGAGAUACGUACCUCCCUUUGUGGUUGGUGUGCAGGUGGUGCAUGGUUGCCGUCAGCUCGUGUCGUGAGAUGUUGGGUUAAGUCCCGCAACGAGCGCAACCCUUGUCUUAUGUUGCCAGCACUUUGGGUGGGGACUCAUGAGAGACUGCCGGGGUUAACUCGGAGGAAGGUGGGGAUGACGUCAAAUCAUCAUGCCCUUUAUGCCCAGGGCUUCACGCAUGCUACAAUGGUUAGUACAACGCGCUGCGAACCUGUGAGGGUGAGCGAAUCGCUGAAAGCUAAUCUCAGUUCGGAUUGGGGUCUGCAACUCGACCCCAUGAAGUCGGAGUCGCUAGUAAUCGCAGAUCAGCAAUGCUGCGGUGAAUACGUUCCCGGGCCUUGUACACACCGCCCGUC
rnacentral:rRNA from 1 species